CGUCGGGCUCCCGGUGCAUGGAGCCUGCUUCUCCCUCUGCCUGUGUCUCNGUUUUUCCUAUUCAUGACUCAUUUUGCUCUUUGGCUAACACUCAGGCAAAUGUAGUGACAACUUAGUUUUCUUCUUCCUCUGAAAGCUUGUACACAUUUUCUGCCUCGGGUUGUGUCCACGAGGAUGCCUGGAGAAUGUUGACAAAGGAAAGGUUAGACUAGCCUGUUGAUGCUGCGUAUUUGGGCUUUAAAAAUCAAAAAGGUUCCUUGGCUUCCUCGGAGAAGCAUUCUGCUUGAUGGCCCAGAAUACUGAUCCAGUAAAAAAGACAUGUUCCAGCCAUCCUUCACACACACCUUAAGUGAAAUUAAUGAGAUCACUCUACAAUUACGCUUUGUGUUUUAUUUUCACUUUCCAGGUCUGUAUGAGCUGUUGGCUCUUGUGCCAGGCCAGCUAGGGCCACGUGUGGACAGCCAGGAAGACCUGACCUUCCUCUUGGAUAUGUUUGGUGAGAAAAGCCUGCAUUCACUGGUAAAGGCCACAUCUGUACACCGUGUGUCUAAACAUGGAAUACUCUAUGGAGACUCUGAAAGCCCUCUGAUGUCAUGUUGCAAAAAAGCAAUAGUCUCCUGGUGCCAAUCCAUGCCUACCCUAAAAAAAUGCAUGAGAAUGCCUGAAUUUAUUCAUCCAUAUGCUAAUCAACGAAUUCAAUAAAUAUGUAUGGAGUACCUGAUAUGUGAUAGGCUUCUUGGUAAGUGGUAGGGACAAAAAGAUAAGCCCCUCUCUAUCAGAGACUGUAGAGGCCACAGGAAAGAGCUAUGCUGGAGUAAUUAUGUGAAGAGCAUUACAAAGGAACCAGGGGGGCAAGAAAUGGUAGUUUAGGGAUAUGAGGGAACCAGAACUGGGUUGAGGAGACGUGGUGUCUGGGAUGAUCACUCUGAGAGAAUGAUUUUUAAGUUGAAAUUGAAGGGUAAGCGGGUGGUGAUGGGGGAGGGUGUGGAGAAUGUUCCACAGUGGGGGACCAGCAAAGGUGAAGGUUCUGAGGUGAUGGAAAAAGAGAUGAAUUAGUUGUAGGAACUGAAAUCAGACCAGUGUGGCUGGAGGCAGGUGGGUCUUUCAGGGCCUAACCUUGAUAAUACAUCGUAGAGUCAGAGAAACUUUGCGGAAAUGAUGGAUUCGCGAACUAAAGAUUUCCAAAUUCAACAGGCAAAAUUAGAGAAUAUUUUCCUUUCAGAUUCUGACUGCUUGCUUCCGUAUUAUCUAUAUUCUGUAAAAUGAACUUGAUCAAACGCAUUAUUUUCACUUUUUCAGGUUUCACUGAUGGUUGAGCUUAUGGUAUUUGGUGCAAGUCAAGUACAUUCCUGGCCAUUUUAAUUUUUCAGAAUCAUCGGUGACAUAUUAACAUAUUGGGGAAGCUGAGAAGUUAAGUGCUGAAGCUUUAAGCAGUUGUAGAAUAAAUUCUGUGGUAAUGAUGAUGUUACA
rnacentral:lncRNA from 1 species